rnacentral:tRNA from 1 species
GGGAACGUAGCUCAUAUUGGCAGAGCAGUGUGCGCGCGUCGCAUUCUGAUGGGGGUUCGAUUCCCCUUGUUCCCACC